rnacentral:rRNA from 1 species
GAUGAACGCUAGCUACAGGCUUAACACAUGCAAGUCGAGGGGAAACGAUAGAGAAAGCUUGCUUUUUCUAGGCGUCGACCGGCGCACGGGUGAGUAACGCGUAUCCAACCUGCCCACCACUUGGGGAUAACCUUGCGAAAGUAAGACUAAUACCCAAUGAUAUCCCAAGAAGACAUCUGAAUGAGAUUAAAGAUUUAUCGGUGAUGGAUGGGGAUGCGUCUGAUUAGCUUGUUGGCGGGGUAACGGCCCACCAAGGCGACGAUCAGUAGGGGUUCUGAGAGGAAGGUCCCCCACAUUGGAACUGAGACACGGUCUAAACUCCUACGGGAGGCAGCAGUGAGGAAUAUUGGUCAAUGGGCGAGAGCCUGAACCAGCCAAGUAGCGUGCAGGAUGACGGCCCUAUGGGUUGUAAACUGCAUUUGUAAGGGAAUAAAGUGAGCCUCGUGAGGCUUUUUGCAUGUACCUUAUGAAUAAGGACCGGCUAAUUCCGUGCCAGCAGCCGCGGUAA